rnacentral:rRNA from 1 species
UACGGAGGGUGCGAGCGUUGUCCGGAUUUAUUGGGUUUAAAGGGUGCGUAGGCGGCCGUUUAAGUCUGGGGUGAAAGCCCGCUGCUCAACAGCGGAACUGCCCUGGAUACUGGAUGGCUUGAGUACAGACGAGGUUGGCGGAAUGGACGGAGUAGCGGUGAAAUGCAUAGAUACCGUCCAGAACCCCGAUUGCGAAGGCAGCUGACUAGGCUGUUACUGACGCUGAGGCACGAAAGCGUGGGGAGCGAACAGG